rnacentral:rRNA from 1 species
UUGACCUCGAAUCAGGUAGGAAUACCCGCUGAACUUAAGCAUAUCAAUAAGCGGAGGAAAAGAAACCAACAGGGAUUGCCCCAGUAACGGCGAGUGAAGCGGCAACAGCUCAAAUUUGAAAUCUGGCCCCCCGGGGCCCGAGUUGUAAUUUGUAGAGGAUGCUUUUGGCGAGGCGCCUUCCGAGUUCCCUGGAACGGGACGCCACAGAGGGUGAGAGCCCCGUCUGGUUGGAUGCCGAGCCUCUGUAAAGCUCCUUCGACGAGUCGAGUAGUUUGGGAAUGCUGCUCUAAAUGGGAGGUAUAUGUCUUCUAAAGCUAAAUAUUGGCCAGAGACCGAUAGCGCACAAGUAGAGUGAUCGAAAGAUGAAAAGCACUUUGAAAAGAGGGUUAAAUAGUACGUGAAAUUGUUGAAAGGGAAGCGCUCAUGACCAGACUUGGGCCCGGUGAAUCAUCCAGCGUUCUCGCUGGUGCACUUUGCCGGGCACAGGCCAGCAUCAGUUUGCCCCGGGGGACAAAGGCUCUGGGAAUGUGGCUCCUCCGGGAGUGUUAUAGCCCUCUGCGCAAUGCCCUGGGGCGGACUGAGGUUCGCGCAUCUGCAAGGAUGCUGGCGUAAUGGUCAUCAGCGACC